ACCUCUCGGGGUUACAGCCUUGCUGAAUUAUUCACCCUUGUCUUUUGCGUACUUCUUGUUUCCUUGGUGGGUUCGCCCACCACUAGGACAAACAUAAACCUUUUGUAAUUGCAAUCAGCGUCAGUAACAAAUUAAUAAUUACAACUUUCAACAACGGAUCUCUUGGUUCUGGCAUCGAUGAAGAACGCAGCGAAAUGCGAUAAGUAGUGUGAAUUGCAGAAUUCAGUGAAUCAUCGAAUCUUUGAACGCACAUUGCGCCCUUUGGUAUUCCAAAGGGCAUGCCUGUUCGAGCGUCAUUUGUACCCUCAAGCUUUGCUUGGUGUUGGGCGUCUUGUCUCUAGCUUUGCUGGAGACUCGCCUUAAAGUAAUUGGCAGCCGGCCUACUGGUUUCGGAGCGCAGCACAAGUCGCACUCUCUAUCAGCAAAGGUCUAGCAUCCAUUAAGCCUUUUUUUCAACUUUUGACCUCGGAUCAGGUAGGGAUACCCGCUGAACUUAA
rnacentral:rRNA from 1 species